AGAGUUUGAUCCUGGCUCACAACGAACGCUGGCGGCGUGCUUAACACAUGCAAGUCGAACGCGAAAGUUUUCUUCGGAAAACGAGUAGAGUGGCGCACGGGUGAGUAACGCGUAAGUAAUCUACCCUGGUAUCUGGGAUAACCCACCGAAAGGUGUGCUAAUACCGGAUACGUUGAUUUUUACACGCUGAUUUAUCAGGAAAGGUGGCCUCUUCAUGAAAGCUACUGUACCGGGAGGAGCUUGCGUACCAUUAGCUAGUUGGUGGGGUAAUGGCCUACCAAGGCGACGAUGGUUAGCGGGUCUGAGAGGAUGAUCCGCCACACUGGAACUGGAACACGGACCAGACUCCUACGGGAGGCAGCAGUGAGGAAUAUUGCGCAAUGGGGGAAACCCUGACGCAGCGACGCCGCGUGGAUGAUGAAGGCUUUCGGAUCGUAAAAUCCUGUCAGAUGGGAAGAAAUGCCAUUCAGUUAAUACCUGUUUGGUUUGACGGUACCAUCAAAGGAAGCACCGGCUAACUCCGUGCCAGCAGCCGCGGUAAUACGGAGGGUGCAAGCGUUGUUCGGAAUUACUGGGCGUAAAGCGCGCGUAGGCGGUUAUUUAAGUCAGAUGUGAAAGCCCAUGGCUCAACCAUGGACGUGCAUUUGAUACUGGAUAACUUGAGUACUGGAGGGGAUGGUGGAAUUCCCGGUGUAGAGGUGAAAUUCGUAGAUAUCGGGAGGAACAUCAGUGGCGAAGGCGACUUGCUGGUCUAAUACUGACGCUGAGGAGCGAAAGCGUGGGGAGCAAACGGGAGUAGAUACCCCGGUAGUCCACGCCGUAAACGAUGUCAACUAGCCGUUGGGGGUCUUAGACCCCUUUAGUGGCGCAGCUAACGCAUUAAGUUGACCGCCUGGGGAGUACGGUCGCAAGACUAAAACUCAAAGGAAUUGACGGGGGCCCGCACAAGCGGUGGAGCAUGUGGUUUAAUUCGAUGCAACGCGAAGAACCUUACCAGCUCUUGACAUCAUCGGAACUUUCUAGAGAUAGAUUGGUGCCUUCGGGAACCGAAUGACAGGUGCUGCAUGGCUGUCGUCAGCUCGUGUCGUGAGAUGUUGGGUUAAGUCCCGCAACGAGCGCAACCCCUGUCCUUAUUUGCCAGCACAUCAUGGUGGGAACUAUAAGGAGACUGCCGGUGAUAAACCGGAGGAAGGCGGGGACGACGUCAAGUCAUCAUGGCCCUUACGACCAGGGCUACACACGUGCUACAAUGGGAAGAACAAAGGGUCGCUAAGCCGCGAGGUGGUGCUAAUCUCAUAAAUCUUUUCGUAGUCCGGAUCGGAGUCUGCAACUCGACUCCGUGAAGUCGGAAUCGCUAGUAAUCGUGGAUCAGAACGCCACGGUGAAUACGUUCCCGGGUCUUGUACACACCGCCCGUCAUACCAUGGGAGUGGGUUGCACCAGAAGUAGCUAGUCUAACUGCUUGCAGAGGACGGUUACCACGGUGUGAUUCAUGACUGGGGUAAAGUCGUAACAAGGUAGCC
rnacentral:rRNA from 1 species